AACGAACGCUGGCGGCAGGCUUAACACAUGCAAGUCGAGCGCCCCGCAAGGGGAGCGGCAGACGGGUGAGUAACGCGUGGGAAUCUACCCAUCUCUACGGAAUAACGCAUGGAAACGUGUGCUAAUACCGUAUACGUCCUUCGGGAGGAAGAUUUAUCGGAGAUGGAUGAGCCCGCGUUGGAUGAGCUAGUUGGUGGGGUAAAGGCCUACCAAGGCGACGAUCCAUAGCUGGUCUGAGAGGAUGAUCAGCCACACUGGGACUGAGACACGGCCCAGACUCCUACGGGAGGCAGCAGUGGGGAAUAUUGGACAAUGGGCGCAAGCCUGAUCCAGCCAUGCCGCGUGAGUGAUGAAGGCCCUAGGGUUGUAAAGCUCUUUCACCGGUGAAGAUAAUGACGGUAACCGGAGAAGAAGCCCCGGCUAACUUCGUGCCAGCAGCCGCAGUAACAC
rnacentral:rRNA from 1 species